ensembl:lncRNA
AUAUGGAAGUGGAAGCAAUUAAGGGUGGAAAUGCUAGCCUACCAUUCACAACUGUUGGAUUGACGAUUUUCUGCGAAAUAGAUUGUCAAAAAAGGACUACGAUCACCAGGAUCGGUCGAUACUGUGGCACUGUUGAGAACUGCACCACCAACUUGAAUACACCUUUUUCAAUAGAGACUGGCAACCUAAUUGUAUGUAAUGUCACCUCGAACAGAUGCUUCAGUGCAGAAUGGAUACAGGGUACAGGAAACAUCAAGACAUUUUAUAAUGUUUCUAUCAACAAAUUACUACACUCUACCAUCAGCGCAGAAAUAUCCACCACAACAUUCACUACAGAAACACCCAACUAUACUUCAACCGAUCCCUACAACAACACUGCAUCAUUUAGUGUAUCCAGAUUUGAUUUUGUUGUUGUUUUUGUUGUUGUUGUUGCUGUUGUUUUUGUUGUUGUUGUGAUCUUGGUGGCCAUCCGUUUGCUCCCUGACCAGUGCAAAUGUAAACAGAGGUAUGUGAACGCAAACGCUGCUGCAGGUGUGUUGCUGGAAAAAGUGUCUCAUGAAGAAAUCAUCAUGGAAAAACUGGAAACAGCCAAAUGACUUGUUACAACUGUGAAUGAAACUCAACUUUAGAUGGCUGCUUCACCUUCCAUGGAUUCCAACUAGUCACUUUAUUACUUUAUUGACAUAUCUACAAUGAAGGAUUGAAAUGGUCAACAUCUGUCAAAAAAAUAAAAAAUCUACUGUUCCGCCCUUUGGUUCAGACUUAAUUUAUGAAACUGAAUAUUUUUUGUUUUCUCAAAAUGCACCCCCCCACAGUGUUGUUUGCAUUCAUUGCUGCUUCUGCUCUCAAUAAAGACACCACAUAAUUAUGGGCCUUCUUGUGUAUUGGAACCAGAAGUGCUAAAUUGCUUAUUUCCAGGUAUUGGCCUACAACAAAUAAAUAAUAAACUAAAGAAACAAAAAAUAAUUCAUCCCCCCAGCACUCAACAGACUUACAGAACACAUACUGUAGAUUGGAAAUCAAAUUCAUUUUUAUAAUUUUGU